AAGUCGUAACAAGGUCUCCGUUGGUGAACCAGCGGAGGGAUCAUUACGAAAAGGAGUAUUCACGUACCCCUCAACCCUUUGUGAACAUACCAUUACAAGUUGCUUCGGCGGGAGGCCCCUGGGAGGGGCCCCGGGGCCCGGUCCUGAGCCGGGCUCCCGCCGGAGGGGCGCAACCAAAACUAUUGCUGUAUCCCAGUGGCACCUCCGAGUAACAAAACAAAAAAACAAGUUAAAACUUUCAACAACGGAUCUCUUGGUUCUG
rnacentral:misc_RNA from 1 species